UCCUACCUCCUCCCCUCUGACAAACACCAGUUUGUUCUCUGUAUUUAUGGGUCUGUUUCUGCUUUUGUUUGUUCAUUUGCAAAACCCACAUUUUUAAUGAUCAAGCGUAGGAAACCAAAAUUCUACACCUUUGAGAGCACUCUUCCCUGGAUGAGAUUUUAAGUCAUUUCGACCUUGUUUUGUUAGAGGGACAGAAUUCAGUAGCCAGACAGCACAUAGUUUUCCUCUAUCUGACAAUGUGCCUGAGGACAGAAGUAGAUUCUAGAAAUCAGAUAAACAAGCAUCAGAGAUAAUCCACUCACGAAGCAAAACUUGAGGGAAUGUGUGGGUGGAAAUGUGAAUUCUAGGCUUAGUCUGGCUCAGAGUUGACUUGUGUCAAAGUUAAAGUAUUUCUCUUGUCUUUCAGCAGCAGCUAAUACAGGAAGAUACACCCGCCAUGAGCUUUAGUCGCAGCUCUACAUAAAUAGGUAUCAUGCUAAUAUCUGAUAUAUUCAGGAGGUCCCUGAAGAGCAAGAACUUUACUCACUAAUUCCUUAACUUUCCAAACCACAUUUUUAGGAGAAAUACUGACUGACCAACACCAAGGAGAAGCAUAAUAAAGUACUGGGAAUAUUCUGGAAACUUCCUGAAGAAACAGUAGAUGCAAUAAAGGAAGAAAAAGUCAACACUGCCUUUGUAUCCAAUGGCCCCUCGCUCUUAAACAGAAAAUCGAAAUUCUAAGGAAGGGAAGUGCAGGUUUCAGCCUCUCUUCACAUCGUUACAAGACGCCAGAUACCCCGUUCGGCUGCUGCUACAGACACCUGCCUCUCUCCCCACCCGGCACCGCUGUGCCUAUCCCAGGAAAAACAGAGAAGAGGAGUUGGGUACAGGACGACCUCUACACCAUUCAAGACCACACUUCAGUCUCGAAAUUUAAAGUUCGCCUUUAAGAAUUCCUGGCUAAUAUUUAGAACAACAGCAAUGUUGAUCGGACAGCUUCUCACAGACUGUCUAGAACUGCUCCAAACCAACCUCAAAGCUUCUCUAGACGGGGAAGGACCCUUAUCGGGUUCUCUAUCACCUACCUGGGGGCAUCUAUCACCGGGGUAGCCCUCAGAGAAAAAGGGCCCUAUUUCCCAGCAUGGGGGCAGGGAAGGUGCCUGCACACGCCGCGUCUUUCUAUUCAAUACCGAAUUAAGAGCUGGGUCCCGGUGGAAUUCUCUUUUACUAACUACUCUCCGAGGAACCCGCCAAUUCUGGCGGGGUUUGCUGGAUUCUAGUAAAACUCGGCUCACAUGGGGUGGGAUGUGAUGGGGAGGAGGAGGGAGGGAAGCGCAUCUCCUUUCUUCUAGAUAAUUGGGACCCAAGAAACGAGAAGGGGGUGGCGCAGUAGGGAGAGUUACUUACCGCCCUCCACCUGAAAUAAGCAAGACCAAUAACGCGCCUCGCUUUUCGCCCUGUUUACUCCAUCCCCAUUCAGUGAUUGGCAAAGCAGGCCCUGAAGGCAGAGGCAAUAAUUGCUCCGCGCUCUCCUUACUAGGGAUGUGUGUAGGCAUUUGAAGUGUACUAAAAAUAAACGAAGGAGCGAGAAAAUGAAAAGGGG